CAAUAGCGUAUAUUAAAGUUGUUGCAGUUAAAAGCUCGUAGUUGGAUUUCUGGGUCAAGCUCCUGGUCCGCCGCAUUGCGGUGCUGACUGUGUGCAGCGUUGGCUCAUCCUUGUGGGAAACUCAGUUGGGCGUUCGUUCGUCGGCUGUCGGAACCGCAUCUUUUACUGUGAAAAAUUAGAGUGUUCAAAGCAGGCUUACGCUGUGAAUACAUUAGCAUGGAAUAAUAAGAUAGGACUUUGGUUCUAUUUUGUUGGUUGGAGGCCAAGGUAAUGAUUAAUAGGGAUAGUUGGGGGUAUUCAUAUUUAAUUGUCAGAGGUGAAAUUCUUGGAUUUAUGAAAGAUGAACUUAUGCGAAAGCAUUUACCAAGGAUGUUUUCAUUAAUCAAGAACGAAAGUUAGGGGAUCGAAGACGAUCAGAUACCAU
rnacentral:rRNA from 1 species